rnacentral:rRNA from 1 species
UACGGAGGGUGCAAGCGUUAUCCGGAUUUACUGGGUUUAAAGGGUGCGUAGGUGGUUUGGGAAGUCAGUGGUGAAAUACUUUCGCUUAACGAAGGAACUGCCAUUGAUACUAUCAAUCUUGAAUGUAGUGGAGGUAGGCGGAAUGCGUCAUGUAGCGGUGAAAUGCUUAGAUAUGACGCAGAACACCAAUUGCGAAGGCAGCUUGCUACACUACUAUUGACACUGAGGCACGAAAGCGUGGGGAUCAAACAGG